CACACAAAGUCUCUUGGAAAGGCGGGGCAACGCGAGAAGCUCAUGAAAGCUGCUGCAGAAACCUUGUGAAGGCUGUUCCGGCUCCACUUCAGAGGCUGAGGAGCCCAGGAAGCAAGUUCCUGAGGGCCUCUGUGACCUGAGGGGAAAGGAGGCCUCUGAGGCUGAAGAAGAGAAGCAGGAAGCAAGUUCCUGAGGCCGCUCUGACCCUCCGGGGAAAAGGAGGCCUCCUGCUUCCUCGGCUUCAGGCAUUGCCCAGGCAUCUUCUGGACCAGACCGCGCUGAGGCUGGUGAGAAGUGUUGCAACCUUCUUCUGCUGCAAGCAUCACGAACCUUCUGCAGGACAGCCAGGGUCCCGUCCCUGCAAGGUACCUCUCUCUGUGUGUAUUCUUGUCUCCCCCGCAAGGAACCUCCCUGUUUUGGUCGUCCUCCUGGGCUCUGGGUGCUAGACGGGUCAAUAGUGGCCAUUGCUCCCUUCUGUACAUGUGUGUAUACAUGUGUGCUUGUGCGUGUACGUGUGCCAAGGGUGUCCGAGAGGCACCAUAACCUGCCCGCGAGGCUGGCCGGCACUCUGGUCUCCAUUUUGUAUUUCUCCAAUGUAACACAAAAGAACCUGGGUUGCAGUGCCUCAGGCUCUCUCCCACCACUGAUCUGAAGAAAAUCUGAAGUGUUUUCUUAGAGGGCUUGAUUUGUGUCUCCAGAAGUCAGAACCACACAUAGGGAAUUUAAAGGGAAAGGAGGCGUGGGGAAGCACUCAGAUUUUCCUAAGAGGACUUUUCUCAAGAGAUCUUACGCAACCUUAGGAGAGGCGUUUUCGAGAGGUUAUCUGGAGAGUGUUUCAUGCUGUACCAGGAAACACUUUCUUAUUUCUCAUUUGUAUUGUAUUUUAUUUAUUUGAGAGGUAGAGACAGCUCCCACUUGCCACUUCAUUCCACAAGUGCCCCAACAGCCAGGGCUUGGAGCCAGGCACCCAACCUGGGUCUUCCACAUAGAUAGCAGGACCCUACCACUUGAGCCAUCACCCCUGCAACCUCUCAAGAUGCACAUCAGUAGAAAGGGAAUCGGGAGAAGAGAUAGGACUUGGAUCCAGACACUCUGGUAAGUGGAUGUAGACAUCCCAAGUGGCUGUGCCAUAUACCUACCCCUCCUCCUACACCUUAAUUUCUGCCUGCUGUUUCUCAUUGGUCAAAACCAUAUAGUAGUACAACAGCAAGGAAGACCAGGUGAUUUAGCUUUUAUGUCUCAACUUCCUGAGGAAGAGAAAUGUGGAGAGAAGGAAGUAGGAUACCUGAUCACAAAAAAUUUAGAGUAACCAAAAUAAUCCACCAUAUUUUCCACAGUCAGCAUUCACUGUUGGCUUUGAUCAAAUAAAGGAACUCUUUGCCCAACA
rnacentral:lncRNA from 1 species